GUCCACAUUGUUUUUAGAGAUAGGAUCUCUCAGUCGCAAAAGAAUCACAAAGCAGGAGAGAAGCCUGGCCAGUAAGUCCCAGGUAUCUGUUUGUCUCCCCCGCCCCGCCCCCGCCCCCACCAGUCCUGAGAUGACAAAUAUCCAGCACCAUACCUAGGCUUUUCCAUGUCCUCACCCUUACAAGGUUUAGAAACAUAGCAGACUACCUGUACCUUUCCAGCUCUCAGAGUUCAGAGACAAGCAGGCACCAGCUGCCAACUAGCGGAUGGAAGGGCCUGGCGCCUCCUGCUACCUGGUAAUGGUCUAUGGGGCCAGAGACCAUUGGGUCCCUGGAGCCCACUGGUCAGUCAGUCUAGCUGAAUCUGUGAGCUCCAAGAAAAUAGAAAUCUAGGGCAGGGCCGACUGUGCGUGUGGCUGAAUCAGCAAAGUGCUCCACUGCGAGGACAAUCUUGGCUGAGAUCUGGCCAGGACCCCAUGGGGCGGAGGCGCCUGAUGGCACUCAGUGAUGAUCCCUGGCGCUGCUGCUGAGAGGCCUCAGCGCCCCCACCUCUUCCGGCCGUCCGGCCCGCCUUUUCCUGUAGGAUGCGGCUGCGAUGCGUGCCCUGCGCCUGGGCUGCAAAAGGAUCAAAGACUUGAGUGGGCCGCGCGGCCUCGCCCUGCCAAGGGGGAGCAACUUGUCUAGAGACGCCUGACAGCUUGACAGGCGUGCGGGAGCGCAGUUUGGGAGCCGGCAGGGGGGGCACCCUGCCUCGCGGCACUCCCGUCCGUUGCCUCUAGAUGGCAGGCUUCGAAAUCCCUAAUUGUAAACGCCUCUCGGGCAGCCCUUAACUCCACGUCCAUUGCGAGCGCUCACAGGCGUCGGCCAUGACAGUUACAUCCGGGUAUGAUGCCUAGCCACGGCCUGAGGCUCCGGAAGUGACGUGACGCGGAAGGAUACGCGCUCGACCGAGGGCGGCUGAGGUGAAGAGGCCUCCGGAAGUGGGUGCAAUCGGACUCUGCUGAUGGGACCCCGGCAGUAGGAGGAGCGUGGCCCAUUACACAAGGCCAGUCACUGAGCUCAAAGCCAACCAUGCUGUGCCUUGUUCAAUAAUCGGAGAGACAGAAGCUGUUAUUUUCAUUUCAUAUGUAUUGAGAAACUAAGACCGAGCGAGGGCCAGGGACUUCUCUAAGCCCAUAACCAGGAGUAUUUGACCUAAACUGAAUUCUGUGUUCUUCGUGAUGACUCCCUUUUUGGAAAAAUUAAAUUCCUACCCCUUGUCAUCAUAGAUUGUUGCCCCUGCAAGCCUUUCUUAAGCAUAGUAGCCCAAGCAGUGGUACCUCGACACACCCGUGAUUUUAAUCAAAGAUCAAAUUUUUUAUUCCGGCUUCAUUGGGGGAUAUAGCAUUUUCCUGUACUGGGGAACAAACCUUGGGAAACUGUAGUUUUAAGCAAUUUAUUUCAGACUCAGCACAAUAAAACUUUUGUCUUCUAUCAGCA